rnacentral:rRNA from 1 species
AGAUAUGCCUAGGUGGGAUUAGCUAGUUGGUGAGGUAUGUCACAGGCACGAUCCUAGCUGGUCGAAGGAUGAUCAGCCACAUGACUGAGAACGUCCAGAUCCUACGGAGCAGCAGUGGGAUAUGCACAUGGGCGCAGCUGAUGCAGCAUGCGCGUGUAUGAGAAGCUCGGGUGUAAGUAUUCAGUGUGAGGAAGGGGGUAACGUUAAUAGCGCUAUCUCUUGACGUAGCACAGAAGAAGCACCGGCUAACUCCGUGCCAGCAGCCGCGGUAAUACGGAGGGUGCGAGCGUUAAUCGGAAUUACUGGGCGUAAAGCGCAUGCAGGUGGUUCAUUAAGUCAGAUGUGAAAGCCCGGGGCUCAACCUCGGAACUGCAUUUGAAACUGGUGAACUAGAGUACUGUAGAGGGGGGUAGAAUUUCAGGUGUAGCGGUGAAAUGCGUAGAGAUCUGAAGGAAUACCAGUGGCGAAGGCGGCCCCCUGGACAGAUACUGACACUCAGAUGCGAAAGCGUGGGGAGCAAACAGGAUUAGAUACCCUGGUAGUCCACGCCGUAAACGAUGUCUACUUGGAGGUUGUGGCCUUGAGCCGUGGCUUUCGGAGCUAACGCGUUAAGUAGACCGCCUGGGGAGUACGGUCGCAAGAUUAAAACUCAAAUGAAUUGACGGGGGCCCGCACAAGCGGUGGAGCAUGUGGUUUAAUUCGAUGCAACGCGAAGAACCUUACCUACUCUUGACAUCCAGAGAAUCCAGCGGAGACGCAGGAGUGCCUUCGGGAGCUCUGAGACAGGUGCUGCAUGGCUGUCGUCAGCUCGUGUUGUGAAAUGUUGGGUUAAGUCCCGCAACGAGCGCAACCCUUAUCCUUGUUUGCCAGCAAGUAAUGUYGGGAACUCCAGGGAGACUGCCGGUGAUAAACCGGAGGAAGGUGGGGACGACGUCAAGUCAUCAUGGCCCUUACGAGUAGGGCUACACACGUGCUACAAUGGCGCAUACAGAGGGCAGCGAGCCAGCGAUGGUAAGCGAAUCCCAAAAAGUGCGUCGUAGUCCGGAUUGGAGUCUGCAACUCGACUCCAUGAAGUCGGAAUCGCUAGUAAUCGUGAAUCAGAAUGUCACGGUGAAUACGUUCCCGGGCCUUGUACACACCGCCCGUCACACCAUGGGAGUGGGCUGCAAAAGAAGUAGGUAGUCUAACCUUCGGGAGGACGCUACCACUU